rnacentral:rRNA from 1 species
AGAGUUUGAUCCUGGCUCAGAACGAACGCUGGCGGCGUGCCUAACACAUGCAAGUCGAGCGAAGUUUUUGAAGCGGAUCCCUUCGGGGUGAAACUUUAAUUAUCUUAGCGGCGGACGGGUGAGUAACGCGUGAGAAACCUGCCUUUCACAAAGGGAUAGCCUCGGGAAACUGGGAUUAAUACCUUAUGAUACAUCUACUUCACAUGAAGAAGAUGUUAAAGCGUAAAGCGGUGAAAGAUGGUCUCGCGUCCCAUUAGCUAGUUGGUGAGGUAAUAGCUCACCAAGGCGACGAUGGGUAGCCGGCCUGAGAGGGUGAACGGCCACACUGGAACUGAGACACGGUCCAGACUCCUACGGGAGGCAGCAGUGGGGAAUAUUGCACAAUGGAGGAAACUCUGAUGCAGCGACGCCGCGUGAACGAUGAAGGCUUUCGGGUCGUAAAGUUCUGUCCUAGGGGACGAUAAUGACGGUACCCUAGGAGGAAGCCCCGGCUAACUACGUGCCAGCCGCCGCGGUAAUUC